GCGUCCGUAUCUCAGUCGGCAGAGCGCUGGGACGGUACCCCACGGCCCCGGCUUCAAGUCCCGGCGGUCGCU